UUAGAAGAGUCAAGUAGAUGAUGAUAUCUACUAUCUUCUAUGAUUUAAAAGUUUAUCAUCAAUUUUAUCUCUGAGACUCAGCUUAAUAAAUAAUCCACAUCAUCGAAUCAUCCCUGCACUACGGGCCAAUGAUAUUUAUUAGUAUCACGACCACGAAUUAUCCAUGCACUACGGGCCAAGGAUAUUCGUGUUUUCACCAAUGGUCAUGAUCAUGCCAACAACUGUCCAUCAAUGCAUUACGGGCCAAUAAGUACUUUUACCACAUCAUUUGUAACAUUAUGGUAAUGAUUAUACCGAAUAAUCCCUGGUCAUAAUCAUACCAAGUUCAUCUAUGCACUACGGGCCGAAGAUGACUUUCAUAACAAUAUAAG
rnacentral:lncRNA from 1 species